ACUCAAAGGAAUAGACGGGGGCCCGCACAAGCGGUGGAGCAUGUGGUUUAAUUCGACGCAACGCGAAGAACCUUACCUACCCUUGACAUCCUCGGAACCUGCUAGAGAUAGCGGGGUGCCUUCGGGAACCGAGAGACAGGUGCUGCAUGGCUGUCGUCAGCUCGUGUCGUGAGAUGUUGGGUUAAGUCCCGUAACGAGCGCAACCCCUAUUCUUAGUUGCCAUCAGGUAAAGCUGGGAACUCUAGGAAGACUGCCGGUGACAAGCCGGAGGAAGGUGGGGAUGACGUCAAGUCCUCAUGGCCCUUACGGGUAGGGCCACACACGUGCUACAAUGGACGGUACAAAGGGCAGCGAAGCCGCAAGGUGGAGCAAAUCCCAUCAAAGCCGUUCGUAGUCCGGAUUGGAGUCUGCAACUCGACUCCAUGAAGUUGGAAUCGCUAGUAAUCGUGGAUCAGAAUGCCGCGGUGAAUACGUUCCCGGGCCUUGUACACACCGCCCGU
rnacentral:rRNA from 1 species